rnacentral:rRNA from 1 species
GGCUCAGGAUGAACGCUAGCGGCAGGCUUAACACAUGCAAGUCGAGGGGCAGCAUGAAGGUUAGCAAUAACCUUUGAUGGCGACCGGCGCAAGGGUGCGUAACGCGUGAGCAACUUGCCCGUUUCAGGGGGAUAACCGGUGGAAACGCCGACUAAUACCCCAUGGCAUCAUUAGGAGGCAUCUCCUUCUGAUUAAAGAAUUUCGGAAACGGAUAGGCUCGCGUGACAUUAGCUAGAUGGCGGGGUAACGGCCCACCAUGGCUACGAUGUCUAGGGGUUCUGAGAGGAAGGUCCCCCACACUGGAACUGAGACACGGUCCAGACUCCUACGGGAGGCAGCAGUGAGGAAUAUUGGUCAAUGGUCAGACGACUGAACCAGCCAUGCCGCGUGAAGGUGACGGCCCUAUGGGUCUUAAACUUCUUUUGUAAGGGAGCAAUAAGGUCUACGUGUAGACUGAUGAGAGUACCUUACGAAUAAGCAUCGGCUAACUCCGUG